ACUUCGGUCUGGUGGCGAGCGGCGCACGGGUGCGUAACGCGUAUGCAACCUACCUUAUGCAGGGGAAUAGCCCAUGGAAACGUGGAUUAAUACCCCAUAAUAUUAUUGAUUCGCAUGGAUUAAUAAUUAAAAUUUCGAUGGCAUAAGAUGGGCAUGCGUCUGAUUAGCUUGUUGGUGAGGUAACGGCUCACCAAGGCAACGAUCAGUAGGGGUUCUGAGAGGAUUAUCCCCCACACUGGUACUGAGACACGGACCAGACUCCUACGGGAGGCAGCAGUGAGGAAUAUUGGUCAAUGGGCGAAAGCCUGAACCAGCCAUCCCGCGUGCAGGAUGACGGCCCUAUGGGUUGUAAACUGCUUUUCUACGCCAAGAAACGUUCCGACGUGUCGGAAACUGACGGUAGCGUAGGAAUAAGCAUCGGCUAACUCCGUGCCAGCAGCCGCGGUAAUACGGAGGAUGCAAGCGUUAUCCGGAUUCAUUGGGUUUAAAGGGUGCGCAGG
rnacentral:rRNA from 1 species